CCGGCUCUCUCAGCUCCGGCGGCGGCCGAGCCGUCCGCCAAGCGCUCCAGUUUCUCUGUGACGUCACGCUGCGGGACUUCCCGGCCGAGGUGCUGGUCCAGCGGCCGGCCCUGCUGCAGGCGCUGUUCCACGUGCUGGUCUCGACGGAGGAGUCCGACACGGACGUGAUCCUCUCCUGUCUAGAAUGUCUGUGCUCGCUGACAGAGCGGCUGGAGCAGCGCUGCCGGCUGGCCGGCUUGGCCGACGCGCGCCAGCCCGACACCACGCCGGACUGUGGCGGGGACGAGGACGCCUUGUCAGCCGGCGCGCUGUCGCUGCCGACGGCCUGUGGUCAGCUG